rnacentral:ncRNA from 1 species
UGGGAACCUGCACGACCGCAAAUCCGACUCGCCGGCCGAUUGGUCGGCUUGGGAUUGCGGUAGUGC